UACGGAGGGGGCUAGCGUUAUUCGGAAUUAUUGGGCGUAAAGGGCGCGUAGGCGGCCCGGUAAGUCAAAGGUGAAAUCCCUCGGCUCAACUGAGGAACUGCCUUUGAAACUGUCGGGCUUGAGGCCGGGAGGGGGUAGCGGAAUUCCCAGUGUAGCGGUGAAAUGCGUAGAUAUUGGGAGGAACACCGGUGGCGAAGGCGGCUACUGGACCGGUUCUGACGCUGAUGCGCGAAAGCGUGGGAUGAG
rnacentral:rRNA from 1 species